GCAGAACGGGAGAGAAGACUACAGGUGUUUUUGAGAGCUUUCAGUCUGUUUUUUGGUGUUCCAGGUUCUAGUUCUUCAGUUUAAGAGGGAUGUGUGCAUCCAUAUGUCCUAAACCACACACACAACCACAACUAGAAGCCCUGUAAGAACCAACCAAGUAGAAAAUAAAGAAAAGAACUCUCGCUGCAACCCACAGCUUGGUUAUUGAGACCCACCAGAGCCCUGAUCGGACUCUCCACAGCGAUUCGUGCUCUCCAACCACCCUACAUCUUAAAUCUAUUUUUCAUGAGGUCUCCUCCUCUGCAAAGCAAACUGACCUGGUGGCUACAGGCUGCCAGGAGAAGCGGACUGGCCGUCAGAUAUUGUUU